rnacentral:rRNA from 1 species
UGGGAUUGCCUUAGUAACGGCGAGUGAAGCGGCAAAAGCUCAAAUUUGAAAUCUAGUGCCUUCGGUACUCGAGUUGUAAUUUGAAGAAUUUAUCUCCUUUCCAAACCUUUAUCUAUGUUCCUUGGAACAGGACGUCAUAGAGGGUGAGAAUCCCGUGUGAUUUUGGAUUUGGAAUUUUGUGAGAUUUAUUCGAAGAGUCGAGUUGUUUGGGAAUGCAGCUCUAAGUGGGUGGUAAGUUCCAUCUAAAGCUAAAUAUUGGCAAGAGACCGAUAGCGAACAAGUACAGUGAUGGAAAGAUGAAAAGAACUCUGAAGAGAGGGUGAAAAAGUACGUGAAAUUGCUGAAAGGGAAGGGCUUUAGGUCAGACUUGGUGUUUAAUACUCAGUUCUCCUUGUGGGAGCUGCUCUUGUUUUUCACUGGGCCAAUAUCAGUUUUGACGAUAGAGCACCUCUGGAAAUGUGGCUAUCUUCGGAUAGUGUUAUAGUCUGGAGACGAUCUAUUGUUGGGACUGA